rnacentral:rRNA from 1 species
UACAGAGGUCUCAAGCGUUGUUCGGAUUCAUUGGGCGUAAAGGGUGCGUAGGCGGCGCGGUAAGUCGGGUGUGAAAUCUCGGGGCUUAACUCCGAAACUGCAUUCGAUAACUGCCGUGCUUGAGGACUGGAGAGGAGACUGGAAUUUACGGUGUAGCGGUGAAAUGCGUAGAUAUCGAUAAGGAAGACCAGUGGCGAAGGCGG